rnacentral:rRNA from 1 species
CAGUCGCGCGGGAAUACGGAGGGGGCUAGCGUUGUUCGGAUUUACUGGGCGUAAAGGGCGCGUAGGCGGACUGAUAAGUCAGGGGUGAAAUCCCAAGGCUCAACCUUGGAACUGCCUUUGAUACUGAUUGUCUUGAGUUCGAGAGAGGUAAGUGGAACUGCGAGUGUAGAGGUGAAAUUCGUAGAUAUUCGCAAGAACACCAGUGGCGAAGGCGGCUUACUGGCUCGAAACUGACGCUGAGGCGCGAAAGCGUGGGGAGCAAGCAGGAUUAGAUACCCCUGUAGUCCCUGUCUCUUAUACA